GGAAAUAACAGCUGAUUGGCUGUGACUCCUAACCAGAGACCCCCAGUGCAUCCUGACGCCGUGAGAAGCCGACCCUGAAGUCUGUCGACAGCCCUCUCUAGGUAGAGGUGAGAGCCCUAGGACGUGAAUUCGGGUCUAGGCCAGGGUGAUUUAGAACGGUCCACGGCGCUGGGGUGCAGUGAGGAGAUCUCCGUCCUAACUACAGAUCCUUUGGAGAGUAUCUUGCAGGUUGAAGCCAGGUGAUUGGGUCCUGAUUCGAGUCCUCCAGAGAAAGAAUUGGAGCUCGCCCCGCUGGGAAGGCCCAUACCAAGUGCUUAUCACCACACCAACUGCCUGUAAGAUAGCAGAGAGACCAUCUUGGAUUCACCAAAGCCACUGCAAGAAAGUGAGUGACAGCCUAGACUCAUAGACUCCAGCACCCCUACCUUCUGGUGAUCUACCUGGUGAAGAUAGGGCUGAUUGGGUAUAUCCCGCCCUCUACUUCUCGCCAGUAGUCUACUCACCCAAGGAUCUAGGUGUGUUUGGCUGUCAUGAAGACACUCGCCGUCCUAGCAGCUAUCCUCCUGCUCCUAGCAGGACUCCUCGCGCUUUUCGAGGACAAUAAAGAAGACAAACAGCACCACCUGCAGACAAGAUGGACACAUGACAACUCACAUCUUCGUGACAUGACACAAGACCACAUUCACCCAUGGAUGAAUAACGCAUGGUAUCGCUACGUGCAUGACAGAACCAAGGGAGAGCCUAACAACACUGCGUGUUACGUCUGCUCCCACAUGCCAAGCACCUCAACGCAUCCCACCUUUUAUGGAGACUACAUGAACAAAACACAAGCCAAAUGUGCCGCCAGCUUUUCGGGCGUUGGCUAUCAGCAUAAUAAAAUCACCAUCAACGAGACAAGCUCAUCUACCAUCCACUCGCUUAACUUCCUUAGUAUCUUUCAGGGACCACCCCAACACGAGAUAAUCACCAUUGAAGACGCUGGACUUGACAAUGGAACGUGUGACCAACUUUUCUGGAUCAACUUCA
ensembl:lncRNA